rnacentral:rRNA from 1 species
CCUACGGGAGACAGCAGUGGGGAAUAUUGGGCAAUGGGCGCAAGCCUGACCCAGCAACGCCGCGUGAAGGAAGAAGGCUUUCGGGUUGUAAACUUCUUUUAAGGGGGAAGAGCAGAAGACGGUACCCCUUGAAUAAGCCACGGCUAACUACGUGCCAGCAGCUGCGUUAAUACGUAGGUGGCAAGCGUUGUCCGGAUUUACUGGGUGUAAAGGGCGUGCAGCCGGAGAGACAAGUCAGAUGUGAAAUCCACGGGCUCAACCCGUGAACUGCAUUUGAAACUGUUUCCCUUGAGUGUCGGAGAGGUAAUCGGAAUUCCUUGUGUAGCGGUAAAAUGCGUAGAUAUAAGGAAGAACACCAGUGGCGAAGGCGGAUUACUGGACGAUAACUGACGGUGAGGCGCGAAAGCGUGGGGAGCAAACAGGAUUAGAUACCCUAGUAGUC